UACGUAGGCGGCGAGCGUUGUCCGGAUUUACUGGGCGUAAAGAGCGCGCAGGCGGUCGUUCAAGUCGCGUGUGAAAGCCCCCGGCUCAACUGGGGAGGGUCACGCGAUACUGAUCGACUCGAAGGCAGGAGAGGGAAGUGGAAUUCCCGGUGUAGUGGUGAAAUGCGUAGAUAUCGGGAGGAACACCAGUGGCGAAGGCGACUUCCUGGCCUGUUCUUGACGCUGAGGCGCGAAAGCUAGGGGAGCAAACGGG
rnacentral:rRNA from 1 species